rnacentral:rRNA from 1 species
AUCCUGGCUCAGGAUGAACGCUAGCUACAGGCUUAACACAUGCAAGUCGAGGGGCAGCAUGAACUUAGCUUGCUAAGUUUGAUGGCGACCGGCGCACGGGUGAGUAACACGUAUCCAACCUGCCGAUGACGUCGGGGACUAACCCGGCGAAAGUCGGACUAAUACCGCAUGAAGCAGGGGUCCCGCAUGGGGAUAUUUGCUAAAGAUUCAUCGCUGAUAGAUAGGCAUGCGUUCCAUUAGGCAGUUGGCGGGGUAACGGCCCACCAAACCGACGAUGGAUAGGGGUUCUGAGAGGAAGGUCCCCCACAUUGGUACUGAGACACGGACCAAACUCCUACGGGAGGCAGCAGUGAGGAAUAUUGGUCAAUGGGCGUAAGCCUGAACCAGCCAAGUCGCGUGAGGGAUGAAGGUUCUAUGGAUCGUAAACCUCUUUUAUAAGGGAAUAAAGUGCGGGACGUGUCCUGUUUUGUAUGUACCUUAUGAAUAAGGAUCGGCUAACUCCGUG